CCUACGGGAGGCAGCAGUGGGGAAUAUUGGGCAAUGGAGGCAACUCUGACCCAGCAACGCCGCGUGAAUGAUGAAGGUCUUCGGAUUGUAAAGUUCUGUGAUGGGGGAUGAACACAAUGACGGUACCCCAAUAGCAAGCCACGGCUAACUACGUGCCAGCAGCCGCGGUAAUACGUAGGUGGCAAGCGUUAUCCGGAAUGACGGGGCGUAAAGGGGGCGUAGGUGGUUUAGUAAGUUGGCGGUGUAAUUCCGGGGCUCAACCUCGGCGCUACAGCAAAAACUAUUAGACUAGAGUGCAGGAGAGGUAAGUGGAAUUCCUAGUGUAGCGGUGGAAUGCGUAGAUAUUAGGAGGAACAUCAGGGGCGAAGGCGACUUACUGGACUGUAACUGACACUGAGGCACGAAAGCGUGGGGAGCAAACAGGAUUAGAUACCCGAGUAGUC
rnacentral:rRNA from 1 species